GCAGGGGAAAAUUUCUAUCUGGAUUCCUCCCUUCGUUGUCAAGGGAGCCUGUUGUCACAGGGUGGUUUGUUUGGGGUGUGGGCGGUUGGCCUGGGAGGAGACUUCCUGGCAGUAAUUCUGCCCGAUGAGACUCUUUCUACCACCUACUUCAGGGGUGGGCCUUGAACCAAUAGGUGCCCCAUGGGGGUCUUCUCGGCCUCCUCCUCCCCCUGGCCCCAUAAGGCUGGCAUCCAUGUCUGGUAGGCAGCCGGCCCGGUGCCUCCAGAAGCCACUAGACCCACUCCUUGGGGCCCAUCACAAGCCACAAGCUGUCCCGGACCAGUGCUGAGGUUUUUGGUUGGUUUGUUUGAAUCACUUUUCUCCCCCAACUCUUCACCCCAAAAGCAAAGUGAGUUUUAAACCUACACCCACCUGGUCUCGGGCCCUACAACUGCCCAUAUUGUUUUCUGCAUAAACUUUUGCCAUUAAUACGUCACUCACUUAUCUCGCUAAAUAUUCUACCCAGCGGCCUAAUUAACUGCUGUUAGGAAAUGCUUCAACUCCCCGGGUCCCUGCUGACCCGCAGGGCCAGGACCAGGGACACGGCUGCACCCACUCGCCCUCUGCCACUUAAGCAACAAAGCAGGGCGUCUCGGCCACGCGCGCGGCCGGUACAGUCCGCUGUGCAGGACACCGCGUUUCCCUCGAGGGGGUCGCGUCCUCCGGGGCGUCCCCGCCCCCACCGCGAGCUCCGGGACGCUGACGUCACCGGCCGAGCACGCGGCGGCGCCGCCCAGGAGUCACGCGCUGCCGCCGGGACAGUGCUGCGCCGCCGCAGAGAUCCCUCCGCCGCCCCUGGAAUUCUCCAGACGCUCUGCCGGCCCUUCUUUCGGGCCUCUGCUGGGCGGGGUGACCCUAGGCGACCCCGCAACUCCCUCGGUGGGCUCCGAAGCGCGGCCCCUGAACGGACCUCCCCCCCGCCCCACCUGAGGAAGGGACUUCUCCCCGCGGCCACUGCCUCCCAAAUGUGACGUUGGGCUCUGUCCCAAGAAGGAGGGAUAAUUAGGGAGUGGCCACCAAAGGGAGAGGCCACCAAAGGGAGACCGUGAACCGCCCCUGGUUGGCUUCUUGGGCGGGGUGGGGAGGGACUUUUUUUCCGGUGUCAGUGGAGGAAUCGUCCCGUUGAGUAGUGUCUCGUGACGCGACCCGGGACUAUAAAAGCAAAAGUUGUGGCCCAUCCAGCAGGAGUUAGCGACAGGCAGGGCUGGCGCCUGGGUGUAGUGGUGGGGCGGAAGUGACCAGUUCAGGGUCUCAGGGGACACAGGCAGGAGAUGGCAGAGCUAGAGGGGGUGGGGGUGGGGGUGCGUGGGGAAGGAGGGCUGAAAAGGAGCUUAGAUGUGGGGGGCUCUGCAGCGCGAAGGCCCACAGCACCCCACGAGGCCGCAGCAGCUCUCGGGCCUCGCUGUGCCUUCUGCUACUGCUGCUGGAGGGGGGAUUGGACUUCCAGGAGGCCGAGGUCCUUCCGUGGGCCUAGCUGGCCCCAGUGGCCUGGUUAACGUGGAGGAGGAAGGCAGGCUGAGGCGGGAAGAGGUGGAGACCGGCCUAGGCGGUGGUCGGUCGUUGGCAGGCAGGCCCGCAGCUGGGCGGGGAGGGCCGACUUGAAACUUGUCAAUACCAGCAGCCCCCGUUUUUUUCCAGACAAAGGGUUGUGAACCUGCCUGGGGAUGAGGCCUGGUCUUAAGGAAACUGGACUUGGCUUCGCGGGCCUGACAGCUCUGGGCCAGGGUGGUAUGUAAACAGGGCUCACCUGGUGGAGCCCAGGAGGUGAAGGGUGGCCUGUGGAGUGAUCACGAUCCAAUGUGCCAUUGCCAACUGUUACUGGGGGCUGCUGAGGCAGGCUGCUUUUGUUUGGGGACAAUAUUGACCAACCCUUUAUUUUCCAGGUGGCAGUACCCUCCCCUCUGGAUUUCCCUAAGUUCGAUGCUAAACUCUUCUGUGAGCUCACUCUACCCCUCCUCCUCCCUCUAACUCUCUUGAGGUUAUCCCUUCACUUAAAACCUUGCCUCUGGUCGUCUGGUAAGCCUGGUGAAGUCGCAGGAGUGUUCUUGGACUCGGUAUUGUUGGUAAUGGUGCAGAAGGAAAGGCCUUCCCGGUGGAGCCUCUGGGGGGGUGGGUUGGUGUUGCUUUUGGAGAGGGUGGGGAUUGAAUGUGCUCCCCUGGGUGGGGCUGCAGCAGUGUUUCCAGCAGAAGUCACCCAAUGCCUCAUGGACCUGGUUUGUUACUGUAGUGUUCAUCAUGGCGAGCAGAUGGCACCAGGACAAAUGGAGCCCCAGCCAGUGUGAGUCGUAGCAGUGCAGGAGGGGAGACCCUGAAGGAGACAGCCCGCUUAAGUUGAUGCCUGCAGAUUGAAUUCCAGAGGCUUAGGAGGAGGAGCAGUUCUCCAGUGCCUUGUAUCCAGGCCUUGCUCAGGAGGCCAACCGUUAAGGUUUUCAGAUGAGCUUGUGGGGGGCAGUUCACAAGUCCAAAGCAGAUGCAUCAGCUUGAGGGGCCUUCAUCUUUGAAUGUUCCAGCAGCAUCAUCCUCCAGGCACAGGAAUGCCAGCAGGCACCCCUCUUGUCCUGGGGGUAGUUUUCAGAUGCUGCAUCUUCUAAAUUGAGCCUCUGGUCCUUCUAGUUCUGUGCUAUGAACUUUCCUUCCAGAAGAUUCUUAAGUUAUAGAACAUUUUAAAGUUGAUCCAACAACCAGCCCGAUGCCUUUUAGAUGGCACUUGGAGAUGGAGCCCAGGGACCUCUCACCUACUCGCCUGCUUACCUGCCUUCCUGUCUGCACAUUGGCCGAGGAAUUCUUAGUGUGAUGAUAAAGCUUUUGAUUGUUGGGGGGCCGGAGCUGUUCAAUUUUAAAUGCUUUAGGCAGAGAGAAUUUGUUAGAUUAUCAAACUGUGGGGGCUCAUGUGUUGAGCUAAAGUGGGAGGGGACAAGCCGGUCAUGCCCAGGAGCUGUGUGUUGGUAGGGGGUCUUGUCUGGCCAUUCUAAUGGCAUAGAACCUUUCCAGAAGGGAAUGGUAGGCCCACCAGUAGUGGGUGGGUCAUGGGUGUUUUGUUUUCUGGUGCUGCAGAUUGAACAGGGCCUUGGGCAUUUUAGGCAAAUGCUCCGCCAUUGAGCGACAACCCCAGCCCAGUUAUUUGAUUUCCCCCUCUCCUUUUUUUUUAACAUCUCAGUAGUAUUAUUCCUCUGGGGGCGGGACAGGGGGGCAAGGGCUGGUGGGGAUGCAGUGCUGGGAGCAUGAGGGUGUGGGAUGUGGGUUGAGAGGAAGUCUCUGGAAAGAAAAGUAUGGGCAGAGAUCUGAGAAAUUUCAUAGAAUUUGUGAGUGGAGAAAACACUAGUUAAUGGUAAAUUAUUGGUUAAAUGGUUGCAUAUAAGCAGUGAAAGUUGCUUGGAAAUUUUUAUAAAAGUGCUUAGAACUUCAAGGAAAGUUCAAGAAAAAAAAAGCAAAAUUGUUUUGCUCUAAAGUGGGAAAGACUGAGAAGGUAUAACUGAAAACAAGAAUAUUUAGUUACUUGAAAAAUGACAUGGAACUUGGUGUCAAAACUAUGAGUUUUUAAACAUUUUAAGUAUACACUUACGAUGAGAUUAACAUGGACUUUUCUGGGUUUGUAAUUCAUAUUUUGUCAUGGAGAUCUCAGUGAUUCAAAAUUCUGAACAAAAUGGAAAUGCUUUUGGAGAGGGUGGGGAUUGAAUGUGCUCUUCUGGGUGGGGCUGCAGCAAUGGUUCCAGAAGUCACCCAAUGCCUCAUGGUCGCGAAUUGUUACUAUAGUGAGACAAAUGGAAAUGCUUUUGGAGAGGGUGGAGAUUAAAUGAUUUUUAAGGGAAUUUCAUAAGAAGUGCCUUAUAGAUUUUUCUGUGUUUGGUCAAAACCAUAAUAGCAAAAGUUUUGCUUACUUAACUAUAGUCUUGAAAUCAGUCAUUGUAACAAGGAAAACCUUUUGUGGUUACAGUGAAAUUACUAUAUUUGGUAGCAAUCAGAAUUAUUAGUGAAUAAUCUAUUGUAUUUUCAGUUUAAAUGAUCCAGGACUGGGGGGGGGGAAUGUCAAUCAAAACCAGUUUAGGAAAUAAAAGCAAACUGGGCAGAAGGGGCCAGCUUAACAGGCAGGCUGUAAGAGCUUCUGUGAAACUUUGAUUUGCUUCUGAGCUGAUUUUGUUGAAUUGAUAAGAGUAACUCCAAUGGGCUUUAUCCUGUUUUUCCUCUAAAUUUGAACACUUUAAAAUAUCCAAUACCUUUUAUCCUUAGGACUUUUCCUGUGUUCUGGGUUCCUUUUUUUUUUAUGCUUAAAAAUACAUUGGUGUGGUAAUUCAAUUCUUAGUUGGUGACUUGGGUGUGAUACAGUUACUGUCAUUGGAACUUAAAGUGUAUUAGUCAUGCUUGUGGGGAAAUAUUUCUGGGUAUGCUGUUGUGUAAUGAAAGCUGUAAAAACAGGUGGUUAAAGUACUUGUUUGUAAGGCACGCGCUGUUCUGUUCUGUGUGUGGUUUCUAACCAUUUUUCUUCCCCUUUACAGCACAAAUAAAGGUUUGAGUUCCAAACUCCUUA